rnacentral:rRNA from 1 species
ACGAACGCUGGCGGCGUGCUUAACACAUGCAAAGUCGAGGGCGGGGAGCAAUCCCGACCGGCGAACGGGUUGCGUACACGUGAGCGACCUGCCUGGAAGUGGGGGAUAGCCGGCCCAACGGCCGGGUAAUACCGCAUACGCUCUUCGGGGGGCAUUCCCUGGGGAAGGAAACUUUCGAGGUUUUUCCAGAGGGGCUCGCGGCCUAUCAGCUAGUUGGGCGGGGGUAAACGGCCCACCAAGGCGACCGGACGGGUAGCUGGUCUGAGAGGAUGGCCAGCCACAUUGGGACUGAGAGACGGCCCAGACUCCUACGGGGAGGCAGCAGUGGGGAAUCUUGCGCAAUGGCCCGAAAGGCUGACGCAGCGACCCGCCGCGUGUGGGAGGACGCCCUUCGGGGUGUAAACCACUGUUUGCCCGGGACGAACCUGGCCUUUCGAGGCCACUGACGGCCACCGGGUUGAGGAAGCACCGGCUAACCUCUGUUGCCAGCAGCCGCGGUAAUACAGAGGGUGCGAGCGUUUGUCCGGAAUCACUGGGCGUAAAGGGCGCGUAGGCGGCGCGGUAAGCGUGCGGUGAAAGCCCGGGGCUCAAACCCGGGUCGGCCGUGCGGACUGCCGGGCUGGAGCACUGUAGAGGCAGGUGGAAUUCCGGGUGUAGCGGGUGGAAUGCGUAGAGAUCCGGAAAGAACACCGGUGGCGAAGGCGGGCCUGCUGGGCAGUGGCUGACGCUGAGGCGCGACCAGCGUGGGGAGCAAACAGGAUUAGAUACCCUGGUAGUCCACGCCGGUAAACGAUGGGCACUAGGUGCCUGGGGGAGCGACCCCUCCGGGUGCCGGCGCCUAACGCAUUAAGUGCCCCGCCUGGGGAGUACGGGCCGCAAGGCUGAAACUCAAAGGAAUUGACGGGGGGCCCCGCACAAGCGGUGGAGCAUGUGGUUUUAAUUUCGACGCAACGCGCAGAACCUUACCUGGGCUUGACAUGCAUGGGAAACGCUCUGGAAAACAGGGCGCCCCUCUUCGGAGUCCAUGCACAGGUGCUGCAUGGCCUGUCGUCAGCUCGUGUCGUGAGAUGUUGGGUUAAGUCCCGCAAACGAGCGCAACCCCCGGCCCCGUGUUGCUAACGCGUCAAGGCCGAGGACUCUCGGGGGACUACCGGUGCCAAACCGGAGGAAGGUGGGGACGACGUCAAGUCAUCAUGGUCCUUACGUCCCAGGGCUACACACGUGCUACAAUGGCCGGUUACAAGCGGGCUGCGACUCGGUAACGAGGAGCCAAUCCCCGAAAGCCGGCCUCAGUGCGGAUUGGAGGCUGCAAACCCGCCUCCAUGAAGCUGGAAUCGCUAGUAAUCGCGGAUCAGCUACGCCGCGGUGAAUACGUUCCCGGGCCUUGUACACACCGCCCGUCAACGCCCAUGGAAGCUGUGAGCGCCCGAAGCCCGUGUCGGAAACCCGCAAGGGGCCAAGCGGCCGAAGGCGAGCGCAAGUGGACUGGGGCG